rnacentral:tRNA from 1 species
GGCCCCAUAGUGUAGUGGGAAGAGGUUAGCACGUCUGCUUUACACUCAGAAGGUCCUGGGUUCGCGCCCCAGGUGGAGCCA